AAACUUUCAACAACGGAUCUUUUGGUUCUGGCAUCGAUGAAGAACGCAGCGAAAUGCGAUAAGUAAUGUGAAUUGCAGAAUUCAGUGAAUCAUCGAAUCUUUGAACGCACAUUGCGCCCCCUGGUAUUCCGGGGGGCAUGCCUGUUCGAGCGUCAUU
rnacentral:rRNA from 1 species